rnacentral:rRNA from 1 species
GACGAACGCUGGCGGCGUGCCUAAUACAUGCAAGUUGAGCGCUGAAGGUUGGUCCUUGUACCAACUGGAUGAGCAGCGAACGGGUGAGUAACGCGUGGGGAAUCUGCCUUUGAGCGGGGGACAACAUUUGGAAACGAAUGCUAAUACCGCAUAAAAACUUUAAACACAAGUUUUAAGUUUGAAAGAUGCAAUUGCAUCACUCAAAGAUGAUCCCGCGUUGUAUUAGCUAGUUGGUGAGGUAAAGGCUCACCAAGGCGAUGAUACAUAGCCGACCUGAGAGGGUGAUCGGCCACAUUGGGACUGAGACACGGCCCAAACUCCUACGGGAGGCAGCAGUAGGGAAUCUUCGGCAAUGGACGAAAGUCUGACCGAGCAACGCCGCGUGAGUGAAGAAGGUUUUCGGAUCGUAAAACUCGGUUGGUAGAGAAGAACGUUGGUGAGAGUGGAAAGCUCAUCAAGUGACGGUAACUACCCAGAAAGGGACGGCUAACUACGUG